GAGAGGGUUCUAAUGGAGCAAAUUUGAAAGAGCUCAGUCUCAGUCUCUCUCAAUCGUCUCAUCGAAGAAGGGUAUUUACUUGCUAGGGUUUCGAAACCACCACAGUCAAGAGUUGUUGGUUGGACGAAGGCAGAUUAAGCUGCUUGUGAAACUUUGUCAAACCCUCACUGAGAUAAGUUUGUUUUCUUUUAGAAUUAAUUUCACCUUUUAUCACUUAAACUAUCACCAUUUGUUCUAUUUCAUCUCUAAACUAUCAAUUUCAUAUAUCUGUUUAGUUCUUACAUUUUCUUUUUCGUCACUAGGCUUUUGGAUUACUUGAAGAAUGAGAUUGAUGUCACUGAUUAUUAUAUUAUAAUCUCUUCAUUAGAAUUUGUUCUUUUUUUAUUUGAUCUCUUUGUCAGAAUUUAUUUGGUCUCUAAACAUCAUUUAUUCGUCUUUAUGCAUAUGUUUAAGGGUUUUCCCCAAAUCUCUCUCUUUUUCUCUCUCCCUCUCUGUUUAUUUACUUAUACAAGUUUGUGUUGAAAUGUUGAUUACUCUUAAUUAGCUUUUAUGAAGUGGGUUUUUGAUCAACAUUGUGCCUAAUUGCUGAAUUUGUGAGACAUUUAUGUGUUUUUAUGUUGUUUUAUUGUAUCGAGUGUUCAUCAACUUAGUAGUCAGAGCAAUCUGGUUAUCUAUCCCAGCAAUCUUUUGGGUGCUGUGGAAAUUUAGAAAUGAAAUGGUUUUCAAUGGUGGGAUAAGCGAGUGGGAUCAGAUUUCAGAAAAAAUAAAAAAAAAUAAAAAAUUAUGUGGCUUUUUGGGUGAAAGCAAAACCACUUUUCAAGGAAUUCUCAAUGAGCAACUUUAUUUUUAACUUCCAUAACAUUAGAGCUUGUAUUUGAGAUUAGGUGUUGGAAGUGGCUGGGGUGAUUGUGUUUUGGUUUUUAUUUAUUAUUGUCCUUUCCAUGCCUUAGUUUUGAUGAGUUCUUGAUGGACAUGAAGCAAUUCCGCCAACUUUGAGAUAUAUUUUGAUAGAUAAACAUGUCCUAUGUUCAAAAGAAAAUGAUUAUUUAUAAUGUGGUCUUAAUUCUAAUCUUUUAUCUCUUUAUAAUGUAGGCACAUUAUGUGCUAUUGCUCUAUUCUUUUAAAGAACAGCUGCAACAACAUGUUUGUGUACACACAAUGGAAGUAGUAAUGGCUUGUUGGGAGAUUGAGCAGUCCCUACAAAGCUUAACAGGCAAUUACAUUUCAAAGGCGAUGAAAGAAGUGUUGUAUGGUUUGAAAUUCAGUGAAGGAAGAUCGUAUCCCCCACUGAAUCAUCUCUUUCCAGCACCAGAUUUUUGAGGUACCUGGAUCAUAAUCAAUUUACUGGGAGAAUCCCGGAUGCAUUCUAUAAGCACACUUUCUUGAAAGAAAUGUAUAUUGAAGGAAAUGCUUUUCGGCCAGGUGUGAACCCUAUUGGCAUCCACAAUGUCCAGCACUAUGUCAAUGGUCAGGUUGUCAUCGAAUCAGCACGGGAUACUCUGGAAUCUUGUAGUAAAGCACAAACGGACUCUUAUCAGGAGGAAGUUGCAGUUGCUUAGAAACAUAUCUAGCUUAUUCACAGCCUAAUAGUUUUUUGGGCUAUUUGUAUUUUAGUCAUGGUGUUUGCAUAACAUCUUGAAUUUGGAAUUUGCAAUGUUUCUAUGGUACCUUCUCAUAUGUAUAUAUAGAAAGUUUAUUUUA